rnacentral:snRNA from 1 species
GAUUUUAAAAAGCAAGUACAUAUACUAAAAUUGGAACGAUACAGAGAAGAUUAGCAUGGCCCCUGCGCAAGGAUGACACGCAAAAUCGUGAAGCGUUCCACAUUUUA